AUUGAACGCUGGCGGCAGGCCUAACACAUGCAAGUCGAACGAGUGGCGGACGGGUGAGUAAUGUCUGGUAAACUGCCUGCUGGAGGGGGAUAACUACUGGAAACGGUAGCUAAUACCGCAUACCAUCGGAUGUGCCCAGAUGGGUUUAGCGAGUAGGUGGGGUAACGGCUCACCGAGGCGACGAUCCCUAGCUGGUCUGAGAAGAUGACCGGCCACACUGGAACUGAGACACGCUCCAGAAUCCUAAGAGAUGCAGCGGUGGGGAAUAUUGGACAAGGGGCGAAAGCCUGAUGCAGCCAUGCCGCGUGUAUGAAAAAGGCCUUCGGGUUGUAAAGUACUUUCAUCGGGGAGGCGUUACCCGAAGAAGAAGCACCGGCUAACUCCGUGCCAGCAGCCGCGGUAAUUC
rnacentral:rRNA from 1 species